UCCCCAGUAGCUCAAUUGGCUAGAGCGUCCGCUUGAUAAGCGGAAGGUUGUUGGUUCAAUUCCAAUCUGGGGGA
rnacentral:tRNA from 1 species